AGAGCACACAGGAUAAAGUACUGAUGUUAGGACAUCCCUCAGACAGAAGAAAGAACCCUAUUCUAGGUUUUUCAUUUACUUAGCCAUUGCUUUAUUUCUGUAUGAAAAAGUCACUAGAAAGAACCAGAUGAGAAUGGUUCUUCCACAGCUUUUGACACUGAUCCUCGGCCUCUUUGCACAUAUUUAAUACAGCAGUGAAAUGCAAAUCUUCAGUGAGGCAGCUGACAACCUCACGGAUGGCUGUUACAGCUAUAAAAUGGGAUUGGGGCCAAAGUGUGAUGUGAUCUUGCAACUGUAGCCAGCAGGACGGUGCCCCAUGGAGUGUUAGCUUCCGAAAGCAGAAACCUUGGUAAGGAUUUGGAUGGACAGGAUCUGAGUUUUGAAUUCAUAGAGAAUAAGAGGUAGAAGACCAGAUCAGCCAGCAUGACAGUUACAAUACUGUUUUUCAUAAAUUGAAGUUUCUAUCCUGGAGAGGAUCAGACUCUCCUAAGAAACUCGACUAUUGUGACUUUUGAAAAAUGAGCUUCUUGACCCUGUGAUUGGAGAAAGAGCUUGGAGAAAGAUUCAAAAGCUCGGAGGUCAAAAGGCAAAAAAAAAAAAAGGUAUCUACAUUUGCCAUUGAAAAGCUGUAUUUGGGGAAGAAAUGUAUUAGCUGCAUAUCUGAGGCUGGAAAUACUGGUAUGAUGUAUCAACCUGCUUCCUCUUGAGAGCAAGAAGCAUAUAAACAGUGAUCAUAUAACACUGAUCUGUAUUAGUAGGAAUACUAAGUACCUCGCUUUUGUCAAUGAAAUCAACAUAAAUUAACACUGGGCAGGAGUUGGAUUUUUAUUUCCAUUCAGUCCUUCAGCAUAGUGCAACAUGAAACGCCACAAAAAAAAAAAAAAAAAAAAAAAAAAAGGCUUUCUAUCUUUCUAUAUUUCUGAAAAUAAGCACCAGCUUUCAGUGACAGGCCUACACAAGCCGGGAGCCCGAGCCUUCCAGCCCAUGCCCACCUGCCCCACCAUGCAGCUAACUCAGUCUGUCUCUGUGCCUUGUCCCAGCCCUGGGACUGAUGGACAUUCCAUCAGAUGGGCCCAGGCCCCAAAAGCUUGUGUAGCUUUUUGCCUUGCUGUGAUCAGCACCAAAGCCAAUCACAAAGCUGAGUUUUUGCAGCUUUGUGGCAAGUCCAAAGCUGACUGUGUUGCCACUGGGUAACCCUUACAGUUCUGUGAUGAGCAAAUGUGUGUAGUGAUGGACCAAUAGCAAUGAUCUUGUGGUGUCACUUACAAUGCUAAUGACACCAUCCUUAACUCUUUACUGAGUUCCUUUUUGAUGGAUAGUGAUCGGAGUGGUGUAGGCAACAGUUUGAGAACAUGGCUGCCUGUUUCCUGCCCACCCCUGGGUGUGCAGGCCCUUCAGCCAAGCUGGUGGUGCCUCAGGGAAAAAAUGUUUAAGAAAGGGCAAAAACACUAAAUAGACAGAGAAGGGGGGAGAAAAUAGAAACAACAGGGCAAAGGACAAAGUCAGAGAAGGAGGAGGAGAAGGAAGGGCUCCAUGGCAGAGCACAGGCCUUCAGCCCAUGGAGAGGCCUAUGGUUGAGCCAUGGAAAAGCCAUGAGGAAGGAGCGGUGGAGAGGAGCGGUUAUAGACCCACCACAGCCCCCAUCCCCUUGUAGAGAAAUUGGGAACGAAGGAGUGAAGCCUGGGAAAGGGUGUGGGGAAAAGGCAUGGUUCAAUGCUUGUUUUUGUUUCUCAAAAAAAAAAAAAAAAAAAUCAAAGAUUAUUCCAUUGGCAAUAAAACUAAUUUUCCCCAAGUCGAGUCUGUAUUGCCUGUGACAGUAACUAGUGAGCAACCUCCCUCUCUUUAUCUCUACCUUCAAGCUUUUUCAUCAUAUUUUCUCCCCCUGCCUGUCCCGAUGAGGAAGGGGAGUGAGAGGGUGGCUGGUUGCGCCUCUGGCUGCUGGCCAAGGUCAAUCCACUGCAUACAUGUGUGUCAUAGAGCCACAUGCUCUGAAGAGUUUCCCUGAAAACUAAGGAAAUGAGGUGAAUGAAAGAUAAAGCUUUAUAGUUUUAGAAAAAGCUUUGAAGGUGAGGCACAGAAGCAUUACAUGGUUUGAAGAGUUCCAUGAGGCAUCCAUCUGUUAAGGUAGAAGAUAUCCAGCUCAAGCCCCUGGCAUUCAAGGAUGGCACUUCAGGCUCCCGACCACCCUUCUUCCCAUAUCAGGACUGAAUAAUUUAAUGAAAAGUGCUGUUUUCCCAUGUUUUGACCAGUUAGCUGGCACUUUAAGCUGUUGCAAGCAACAUGCACUGAAUUUGCCUGAAAAAAUGCUGUGGUAUUUCCAUCUGUCAGUAACAGAUUUAAAAAAGAUUUUGUGGAUUCUUUAUAAACAACCCUAAACCUUCACCUACGCUAUUUAUGUCUGAACUAAAGAAAAUCUAGUGAUUGAUGGGUGGACUCCUAUGCCAACUACUUACCAAUAGACUGACGAAACAAAUUUUCUGAAAACCGUACAUCACUGAAGGGAUCAAGAGCAAGACCAAAUUCCCGGUCUUCAUUGUCUUUUCUUAACCCCCGCUUAAACCCCAUUCCAAAAUAAUAGUUUGAAACCUAUUUUCUAGUGAUUCAUGACCUUUACGAAUAAAUAUUCAUUUUGUGUGAAAGCUAACAAGUCGGUAUUAAAUGCUAAUUUGCCCAUGUUUAGGGCUUAAUUUCCUGCUUCAAACAUUAUUCUUAGAUUUUGUGACCAACAAAAUUUAUCCAUGAUUACUAGACAUACUAGACAUCUGUUUAUUGCUACUGAGGGGAUUAUUUCUGUAAAAAAGAAGCAAAAAACAAAACAAACAAACAAACAAAA